rnacentral:rRNA from 1 species
CGGAACGGGUGAGUAACGCGUGAGGAACCUGCCUCAAAGAGGGGGACAACAGUUGGAAACGACUGCUAAUACCGCAUAAGCCCACGGCUCGGCAUCGAGCAGAGGGAAAAGGAGAGAUCCGCUUUGAGAUGGCCUCGCGUCCGAUUAGCUAGUUGGUGAGGUAACGGCCCACCAAGGCAACGAUCGGUAGCCGGACUGAGAGGUUGAACGGCCACAUUGGGACUGAGACACGGCCCAA